AUGCAAGUCGAACGGAAAGGCCCUGCUUGCAGGGUACUCGAGUGGCGAACGGGUGAGUAACACGUGGGUGAUCUGCCCUGUACUUUGGGAUAAGCCUGGGAAACUGGGUCUAAUACCGAAUAUGACCACUUCUUGGAUGGGGUGGUGGAAAGCUUUUGCGGUAUGGGAUGAGCUCGCGGCCUAUCAGCUUGUUGGUGGGGUAAUGGCCUACCAAGGCGUCGACGGGUAGCCGGCCUGAGAGGGUGUACGGCCACAUUGGGACUGAGAUACGGCCCAGACUCCUACGGGAGGCAGCAGUGGGGAAUAUUGCACAAUGGGCGCAAGCCUGAUGCAGCGACGCCGCGUGGGGGAUGACGGCCUUCGGGUUGUAAACUCCUUUCGCAACCGACGAAGCUUUUGUGACGGUAGGUUGAGAAGAAGCACCGGCUAACUACGUGCCAGCAGCCGCGGUAAUACGUAGGGUGCGAGCGUUGUCCGGAAUUACUGGGCGUAAAGAGCUCGUAGGUGGUUUGUCGCGUCGUUUGUGGAAUACCGCAGCUUAACUGCGGGGUUGCAGGCGAUACGGGCAUAACUUGAGUGCUGUAGGGGAGACUGGAAUUCCUGGUGUAGCGGUGGAAUGCGCAGAUAUCAGGAGGAACACCGAUGGCGAAGGCAGGUCUCUGGGCAGUAACUGACGCUGAGGAGCGAAAGCAUGGGGAGCGAACAGGAUUAGAUACCCUGGUAGUCCAUGCCGUAAACGGUGGGCGCUAGGUGUGAGUCCCUUCCACGGGGUUCGUGCCGUAGCUAACGCAUUAAGCGCCCCGCCUGGGGAGUACGGCCGCAAGG
rnacentral:rRNA from 1 species